rnacentral:rRNA from 1 species
GAGUUUGAUUAUGGCUCAGAUUGAACGCUGGCGGCAGGCUUAACACAUGCAAGUCGAACGGUAGCAGGAGAAAGCUUGCUUUCUUGCUGACGAGUGGCGGACGGGUGAGUAAUGCUUGGGAAUCUGGCUUAUGGAGGGGGAUAACUACUGGAAACGGUAGCUAAUACCGCGUAAUAUCGAGAGAUUAAAGACUGGGACCUACGGGCCAGUUGCCAUAAGAUGAGCCCAAGUGGGAUUAGGUAGUUGGUGGGGUAAAGGCCUACCAAGCCCGCGAUCUCUAGCUGGUCUGAGAGGAUGACCAGCCACACUGGAACUGAGACACGGUCCAGACUCCUACGGGAGGCAGCAGUGGGGAAUAUUGCACAAUGGGGGGAACCCUGAUGCAGCCAUGCCGCGUGAAUGAAGAAGGCCUUCGGGUUGUAAAGUUCUUUCGGUGGUGAGGAAGGUAUCAACUUUAAUAGAGUUGGUAAUUGACGUAUCCACAGA